AGAGUUUGAUCAUGGCUCAGACUGAACGCUGGCGGCAUGGCUAAAGCAUGCAAGUCGAACGGGCCCGCAAGGGCCAGUGGCGGACGGGUUAGUAAUGCGAUCGAACGUACCCCGAGGUGGGGGAUAGCGGUGGGAAACUGCCGGUAAUACCCCAUGUGCUCUUCGGAGGAAAGGUUUACCGCCUUGGGAUCGGCGAUCGUCCUAUCAGGUAGUUGGCGGGGUAAAGGCCCACCAAGCCGAAGACGGGUAGCGGGUGUGAGAGCACGGCCCGCAACAUCGGAACUGAGACACUGUCCGGACUCCUACGGGAGGCUGCAGCAACGAAUCUUCCGCAAUGGGCGCAAGCCUGACGGAGCAAUGCCGCGUGUGGGAUGAAGUGCCUACGGCAUGUAAACCACUGUCAGAGGGCAGAAACACUGAUCGCCCUCAGAGGAAGUGGCGACUAACUCUGUGCCAGCAGCCGCGGUAAUA
rnacentral:rRNA from 1 species